rnacentral:rRNA from 1 species
AUUCCAGCUCCAAUAGCGUAUAUUAAAGUUGUUGCAGUUAAAAAGCUCGUAGUUGGAUUUCGGAACCGGCCGAUUGGUCCGUCCUCUGGAUCGUGUACUGAUCGGUCUGUUCUUCUUCGCGAAGACCGCGUGUGCCCUUAACUGGGUGGGCGCGGGAUUCGCGACGUUUACUUUGAAAAAAUUAGAGUGUUCAAAGCAGGCAGUCGCUUGAAUAUCUCAGCAUGGAAUAAUAGAACAGGACUUUGGUCUUAUUUUGUUGGUUUCCGAGACCGAAGUAAUGAUUAAUAGGGAUAGUUGGGGGCAUUAGUAUUUAAUUGUCAGAGGUGAAAUUCUUGGAUUUAUGAAAGACUAACUUCUGCGAAAGCAUUUGCCAAGGAUGUUUUCAUCA